GACAGAUUUUAAAAUUUUAAUGUACUAUAUUGAAUAAGUUUUAUAAAACUCAAAAAUAUUUUUUUAGAAAAGGUGCAUUUUUGGUAAAAGGUCUUCCAUCUGCCCAGUUCCACUAAUAACCGGUCUCUUUUAUUCUUUUCAAGUUUCUUUAUGUGUAUACAAACUAGUGCAAAGAUAGAUCUUCAUUUCUCUUCUUUUUCCAUAUAGAGGUCAUAUGCUGUGAACACCAAAUCAUACACAAACCUUGGUCUCAGGACCCUUUACACCUGUUAAAGUUUUGAGGACCCCAAAGAGGAUUUUUUUUUUUGGUGGGGGUGGGGGCUGAGUACCAGGAAUUGAACCCAGGGGCACUUAACCAUUGAGCCACAUCACAUCCUUAGCUCUUAGCCCAUUCUAUUUUUUUGUUUGUUUGUUUAUUUUGAGACAGGGUUGUAUUAAGUUGCUUAGGAACUCAUUAAGUUGCUGAGGCUGGCCUGAAAUUUACGAUCCUCCUGCCUCAGCCUCUCAAGUCACUGGGAUUACAGGCAUGUGCUACCACACCCGGGUAGCUUAUUAAAUGUGAUUUAUACCUGUAUUGCUAAUCAACUCCUAUGAUCACAUCUGAAACUUUUGAGAGGCAUUACAGCUUUGGCAGCCGUCUUUCUGCUAGUGCAGAUUUAUAGACCUACAUUAUUUUAGUGAUUAAACAAACAGGCUCUUACAAGCCAGGAUUAUAGUUCACCAAACUAUCAUAAAGACUUCAACUCCGGGGGCUGGGGCUGGGGUGUAGCUCAGAGGUAGAGUGCUUGCCUAGCAUGUGCGAGGCCCUGGGUUCAAUCCUUAGCACCACAUAAAAAUAAAUAAAUAAAUAAAGGUAUUGUGUCCAGCUGCAACUAAAAAAAUAUUUAAAAAAAUAAAGACUGCAACUUCAUUUUUGAUGUUAACUGCUUUCAAGCUUGACCAUUUCCCUUUCCCCUGUGCUCUACAACUGGGCAAGCCCAUGGCAGCCUGGGGGGCCUCCUCCUCUGAGCCCAGUAGAAAGUUCAAAUCACCCAAACCCUAGCCUGCUUGCAGGAACCUUCACC
rnacentral:lncRNA from 1 species